rnacentral:snoRNA from 1 species
UGCUGUUAGUGAUGACUUACUUAAAGUUAAAAAGAUGGGAAUCUCUCUGAAAGAGAAUGAAGAUUAAUUCAAAGCUGAAACAGUA